rnacentral:rRNA from 1 species
UUAAGUGACUAAGCGUACACGGUGGAUGCCUGGGCAGUCAGAGGCGAUGAAGGACGUACUAACUUGCGAUAAGCGCAGAUAAGGCAGUAAGAGCCGUUUGAGUCUGCGAUUUCCGAAUGGGGAAACCAACUGCAUAAGCAGUUACUGUUAACUGAAUACAUAGGUUAACAGAGCAAACCGGGGGAACUGAAACAUCUAAGUACCCCGAGGAGAAGAAAUCAACCGAGAUUCCGGUAGUAGCGGCGAGCGAACCUGGAUUUAGCCCUUAAGCACUCGGUGAAGUAGGUGAACAAGCUGGAAAGCUUGGCGAUACAGGGUGAUAGCCCCGUAACCGACGCUUCAUCGAGCGUGAAAUCGAGUAGGGCGGGACACGUGAUAUCCUGUCUGAAUAUGGGGGGACCAUCCUCCAAGGCUAAAUACUCCUGACUGACCGAUAGUGAACCAGUACGUGAGGAAAGGCGAAAAGAACCCUGUGAGGGGAGUGAAAUAGAACCUGAAACCGUGUACGUACAAGCAGUAGGAGCACCUUCGUGGUGUGACUGCGUACCUUUUGUAUAAUGGGUCAGCGACUUAUAUUCAGUGGCAAGGUUAACCGUAUAGGGGAGCCGUAGCGAAAGCGAGUCUUAACUGGGCGCUCAGUCUCUGGAUAUAGACCCGAAACCGGGUGAUCUAGCCAUGGGCAGGUUGAAGGUUGAGUAACAUCAACUGGAGGACCGAACCGACUAAUGUUGAAAAAUUAGCGGAUGACUUGUGGCUAGGGGUGAAAGGCCAAUCAAACUCGGAGAUAGCUGGUUCUCCCCGAAAGCUAUUUAGGUAGCGCCUCGGACGAAUACUACUGGGGGUAGAGCACUGUUAAGGCUAGGGGGUCAUCCCGACUUACCAACCCUUUGCAAACUCCGAAUACCAAGUAAGUACUAUCCGGGAGACACACGGCGGGUGCUAACGUCCGUCGUGGAGAGGGAAACAACCCAGACCGCCAGCUAAGGUCCCAAAGUAUUGCUAAGUGGGAAACGAUGUGGGAAGGCUCAGACAGCUAGGAUGUUGGCUUAGAAGCAGCCAUCAUUUAAAGAAAGCGUAAUAGCUCACUAGUCGAGUCGGCCUGCGCGGAAGAUGUAACGGGGCUAAGCAAUACACCGAAGCUGCGGCAAUAUCUUUUAGAUAUUGGGUAGGGGAGCGUUCUGUAAGCCGUUGAAGGUGAAUCGUAAGGUUUGCUGGAGGUAUCAGAAGUGCGAAUGCUGACAUGAGUAACGACAAAGGGGUGAAAAACCUCCUCGCCGGAAGACCAAGGGUUCCUGUCCAACGUUAAUCGGGGCAGGGUGAGUCGACCCCUAAGGUGAGGCCGAAAGGCGUAAUCGAUGGGAAACGGGUUAAUAUUCCCGUACUUCUGACUAUUGCGAUGGGGGGACGGAGAAGGCUAGGUGGGCCAGGCGACGGUUGUCCUGGUUCAAGUGCGUAGGCUUGAGAGUUAGGUAAAUCCGGCUCUCUCUAAGGCUGAGACACGACGUCGAGCUACUACGGUAGUGAAGUCAUUGAUGCCAUGCUUCCAGGAAAAGCCUCUAAGCUUCAGAUAGUCAGGAAUCGUACCCCAAACCGACACAGGUGGUCGGGUAGAGAAUACCAAGGCGCUUGAGAGAACUCGGGUGAAGGAACUAGGCAAAAUGGUACCGUAACUUCGGGAGAAGGUACGCUCUUGAUGGUGAAGUCCCUCGCGGAUGGAGCUGACGAGAGUCGCAGAUACCAGGUGGCUGCAACUGUUUAUUAAAAACACAGCACUGUGCAAAAUCGCAAGAUGACGUAUACGGUGUGACGCCUGCCCGGUGCCGGAAGGUUAAUUGAUGGGGUUAGCGCAAGCGAAGCUCUUGAUCGAAGCCCCGGUAAACGGCGGCCGUAACUAUAACGGUCCUAAGGUAGCGAAAUUCCUUGUCGGGUAAGUUCCGACCUGCACGAAUGGCGUAAUGAUGGCCACGCUGUCUCCACCCGAGACUCAGUGAAAUUGAAAUCGCUGUGAAGAUGCAGUGUACCCGCGGCUAGACGGAAAGACCCCGUGAACCUUUACUACAGCUUGGCACUGAACAUUGAACCUACAUGUGUAGGAUAGGUGGGAGGCUAUGAAGACGUGACGCCAGUUGCGUUGGAGCCGUCCUUGAAAUACCACCCUUGUAUGUUUGAUGUUCUAACUUAGACCCAUUAUCUGGGUUGAGGACAGUGCCUGGUGGGUAGUUUGACUGGGGCGGUCUCCUCCCAAAGAGUAACGGAGGAGCACGAAGGUGGGCUAAUCACGGUUGGACAUCGUGAGGUUAGUGCAAUGGCAUAAGCCCGCUUAACUGCGAGAAUGACGGUUCGAGCAGGUGCGAAAGCAGGUCAUAGUGAUCCGGUGGUUCUGUAUGGAAGGGCCAUCGCUCAACGGAUAAAAGGUACUCCGGGGAUAACAGGCUGAUACCGCCCAAGAGUUCAUAUCGACGGCGGUGUUUGGCACCUCGAUGUCGGCUCAUCACAUCCUGGGGCUGAAGUCGGUCCCAAGGGUAUGGCUGUUCGCCAUUUAAAGUGGUACGCGAGCUGGGUUUAGAACGUCGUGAGACAGUUCGGUCCCUAUCUGCCGUGGGCGUUGGAAGAUUGAAGGGGGCUGCUCCUAGUACGAGAGGACCGGAGUGGACGAACCUCUGGUGUUCGGGUUGUGUCGCCAGACGCAUUGCCCGGUAGCUAAGUUCGGAAUUGAUAAGCGCUGAAAGCAUCUAAGCGCGAAGCGAGCCCUGAGAUGAGUCUUCCCUGACAGUUUAACUGUCCUAAAGGGUUGUUCGAGACUAGAACGUUGAUAGGCAGGGUGUGUAAGCGUUGUGAGGCGUUGAGCUAACCUGUACUAAUUGCCCGUGAGGCUUAACCAU